rnacentral:rRNA from 1 species
CAAGUCGAACGCAGUAGCAAUACUGAGUGGCAGACGGGUGAGUAACAUGUGGGAAUCUGCCUUGUGGUUCAGGACAACAUUGGGAAACCGAUGCUAAUACUGGAUAAGCCCUUACGGGGAAAGUUUUAAUGCCAUAAGAUGAGCCCGCAUUUGAUUAGUUAGUUGGUGAGGUAAUGGCUCACCAAGACAAUGAUCAAUAGCUGAUCUGAGAGGAUGAUCAGCCACACUGGGACUGAGACACGGCCCAGACUCCUACGGGAGGCAGCAGUGGGGAAUCUUGCACAAUGGAGGAAACUCUGAUGCAGCGAUGCCGCGUGAGUGAAGAAGGCCUUUGGGUUGUAAAGCUCUUUUGUAGGGGAAGAUAAUGACUGUACCCUAAAAAUAAGGUCCGGCUAACUUCGUGCCAGCAGCCGCGGUAAUACGAAGGGACCUAGCGUAGUUCGGAAUUACUGGGCGUAAAGCGCGCGUAGGCCGUUGAGUUAGUUAAUUGUGAAAUCCCAAAGCUUAACUUUGGAACUGCAAUUAAAACUGCUCGACUAGAGUUUGAUAGAGGAAAGCGGAAUACAUAGUGUAGAGGUGAAAUUCGUAGAUAUUAUGUAGAACACCAGUUGCGAAGGCGGCUUUCUGGAUCAACACUGACGCUGAGGCGCGAAAGUAUGGGUAGCAAAGAGGAUUAGAUACCCUCGUAGUCCAUACCAUAAACGAUGAUUGCUAGAUGUUGGAAAUUUAUUUUCAGUAUCGCAGCUAACGCAUUAAGCAAUCCGCCUGGGGAGUACGACCGCAAGGUUAAAACUCAAAUGAAUUGACUG